rnacentral:rRNA from 1 species
UGAGCAAUCUGCCCUUCACAUCGGGAUAACCCCCGGAAACGGGAGCUAAUACCGGAUACGACCACUUCAGGCAUCUGAUGGUGGUGGAAAGUUCUGGCGGUGAAGGAUGAGCUCGCGGCCUAUCAGCUUGUUGGUGGGGUAAUGGCCCACCAAGGCUUCGACGGGUAGCCGGCCUGAGAGGGUGACCGGCCACACUGGGACUGAGACACGGCCCAGACUCCGUACGGGA